rnacentral:tRNA from 1 species
GGACUGUAGUUCAGUGGUAGAGUACUUGCCUAGCAUGCAUGAGGCACUGGGUUUGAUCCUCAGCACCA